rnacentral:lncRNA from 1 species
GCAGAUGCCGCCGCGGAGUUCGCUUGGGGCCGUUGUUCCUUCAGCUAGACUCGUUCCUGAUCCAAGGGCUUUUAUAUACUGGGCGACUCUAUCCCUCGUCCAUCUAUCCAGAGCAAGAACAGCUGAUGCCACCAUUGGGGCUAGCUGAGAGAGAGAGCUGGUCGUGCCCACGUCGUUGUUGGGUCUCAGCUGGAAGGCUAUCCGAGCGAAGGGGAGCGAUUGAAAGUGGUCACCGGCGCGGAUCCACGGGUACUCGGCGCUGGAGUUUCUGUAGCAGUCCUGGGGGCGUCUGGUGUUGCUCGUGGCCACUCCAUGCGAGCGCGUUGCCGGGGUCGUGCUGAUUCCUCCUCACCCAGCUCAGAUCCGAAGCCUAAAGGAAAUCGCGCCAGCAGAUGCGCGUCGUCGCUUGCUGCCUGCGCUACUGCUACAGCUUCGGGGUCCUGCGACGAUGCUAGGCGACUGGAGGUAGGUGACGAUGCGAGGACCGUUGAUCUCGCAAUGCAUGGCUCGAUUUGGGGCGUCGAGGCCCUGGAUCAUCUGCAUUCCGGCGAGGCUCCGCCGUACUUAGCGCGUGCGUCUCUGCCUGGGCGCGGGAUUAUUAUUGAUCUAAUAUGGAUCAUGCGGAUCGGAUCGGACGACCCAGGCUCCAAGGUACCCCUUCACCGCGAUCAUUUUCUAAAAGAGUCCCUGCUGAUUUUAAAAAUAGAACCCGUCGUCCAUGCCAGUGCUGGUUCUAUUACAAACCGGUCCUGAAACUUAUAAUUUUAACCUUGCACUUUUAGAAAUUAUAAUUCGAGGACUAAACGGUUAGGGAAAUUAAUAAAGUGAGCCAUUAAGUGAUUUCUAAUCUAACAAAUAAUUUCAGAAACUUGUUUAAUUCAUCUUAACUCAUUUUUUAUCCAUUCCAGUUGUAUUAGAUUCAUAUUAAUAUUGUUUAUCACCUAGUAACUCUGUUUGGACAUAAAACAUAGAUUAAAAUUGUUUACUUAAUUUAUCUCGUGCCAAGUAUUUAACAACUUCGGAAAAUCAUAACUUAAGAACCGUAACUCCGAUUUGAUCCGUUCGAAUUACGUUGGAUUCAAAACAAUAUCAUUUAUACAAUAUGACACUAACAUUUAUCGCACCCCAUACUUUUAUUAUUAGAAAUUUGUCUAGCCCAUGUUUAAUAGAUUAACUCCUCUAAUCGAAGUUAACUUAUCCAUAAUUAUAAUUUAACUAAAAUAUGAUCUCUAGUCAAGUUAUAAUUAAGGUUUAAGCUGAGUUAAUUAUUUAUAGAAUAGUCUCUCAUAUGAUAUACACUAAACAAUUUAUAAUAUAGUUUAAUAUCAAAAUCCCAUAGAUCUCCCAUAAAUCAUAACUCCUUAACCAUGACUCCGAUCUUAGUAGUUCUCAAUCCCAUGAUCUCAUAGCAACACGUAGAUUAUUAUUAAGCAGUUUGUACUUAUGUUUGGUGUGAUGUUAAUUUUGCCUAUACCAUGUUUGUCUGUAUUGCUACGACUAGCAGUGAGGUCACGAGAAUCUGAAGGUCAUCUCGGUACCUGGAAAUCUCAAGUCCCAGGCAAGUUGUGCCCUUGAUCACUUCUUUUUACCCACUCAUGUUCUAAUUAAUCAUAAUGAUCUGCAUAGGUUAAUUUUGAUGGGACCCAAUAGGAUACCCUAGUUUGUCUAUCUUUAUACCUUGUUUACCACUGAACUUUCUGGGUAGUACUUGCUAGUGCUAUAUGUGGUUUUGGGUAUGGAGAUACAUUAUUCAUGAUUACACUUUUGUUAUCGGUUGUUAUUUACUGUUCAUGAUAAGAUCAUUAUGUUAAUUGGAACAUGGAGCGACCACCC